rnacentral:rRNA from 1 species
GUAACGCGUAUGCAAUCUACCCUUUACUGGGGAAUAGCCCGGAGAAAUUCGGAUUAAUGCCCCAUAUGCCCACGGAAUCGCAUGGUUCAGUGGGGAAAGUUCCGACGGUAAAGGAUGAGCAUGCGUCCCAUUAGCUAGUUGGUGAGGUAACGGCUCACCAAGGCGACGAUGGGUAGGGGGCCUGAGAGGGUGAUCCCCCACACUGGUACUGAGACACGGACCAGACUCCUACGGGAGGCAGCAGUGAGGAAUAUUGGGCAAUGGAGGCAACUCUGACCCAGCUAUGCCGCGUGCAGGAAGACGGCCCUCUGGGUUGUAAACUGCUUUUGUUUGGGAAUAAACCCUCCUACGUGUAGGAGGCUGAAGGUACCUUACGAAUAAGCAUCGGCUAACUCCGUGCCAGCAGCCGCGGUAAUACGGAGGAUGCAAGCGUUAUCCGGAUUUAUUGGGUUUAAAGGGUCCGUAGGCGGAUCUUUAAGUCAGUGGUGAAAGCCCACAGCUCAACUGUGGAACUGCCAUUGAUACUGGAGAUCUUGAGUGUAGUAGAAGUAGGCGGAAUAGGGCAUGUAGCGGUGAAAUGCAUAGAUAUGCCCUAGAACACCGAUUGCGAAGGCAGCUUACUAUGUUACAACUGACGCUGAGGGA